UACGAAGGGGGCUAGCGUUGCUCGGAAUCACUGGGCGUAAAGGGCGCGUAGGCGGCGCGGGAAGUCAUCGGUGAAAGUUCAGGGCUCAACUCUGAAUCGGCCGGUGAUACUCUCGUGCUUGAGCACUGUAGAGGGCAGGUGGAAUUCCGGGUGUAGCGGUGGAAUGCGUAGAGAUCCGGAAGAACACCGGUGGCGAAGGCGGCCUGCUGGGCAGUAGCUGACGCUGAUGCGCGACAGCGUGGGGAGC
rnacentral:rRNA from 1 species